UAGCAGUUAUGGCUCCGGUCCUGCUGCGCUAUGGUUUCUUUCAGGGCGGAAGACAGAGGCAUGGAGAGCUUUUGAGCAAAAGAGUGAACUGUCCGUAUUACAGAGCAUCGUGCACGUUGUUGGAUACUGACCCUUUUUCUGGCAUCACUCCAGUUCCUCGACCACAUCCAGUCGCCGUCGUAUUACGAUUAUGGUGCGCCGGGGUACGUCUACGACGUUGCCGGACCCGUCAGACAGGUUGCCCACUCCCACCUCACGCGCCACACGUCGAGCUAUUGUCUCCUCCCCUGCUUGACUCUUCCCGAAAGUGCAACGGUAGGCUGCCACGGUUCCAGGUAGUUGAUCUUGGUCCCGAGCAAAGCUCUUUUGCGGCUCUGGAAGGUCGUUCGACAACAACCCGUCUCCUCCGGCUGAGCGCUUCCAGGCGAGGAGAAGACGCCGGAGGCAAGUCAACCCCCGGACAACGGAGCCCUUGAAGCGUCCCCAUUGGCCGAACGGGACGGCACUUGCACGGGCGCCUACCAUGGGAGGAAAAUGGCGACACCUGAGCUGGCUCGACGAUUGACCGAAAAUGACAUGACCCCGAGAGAUCGAAGGGGUUAAAAGCGAGAGACAGGGAGAAGAGUUUUUUCGCCCUUCUUACCACGGGCCGCAGCGUCCGAUUAACUGCCGGCCGUCGAUGACUUUAUCACUGUUCAUUACUUUGUUUUAUUACUGUAAUUAAUGUAAAUAAACCUUCAGUUCU